AGCAAAAUUUUCAAUUCAUACACAAAAUCAACCUAAAAUCAUUAUCAAUUCCAUCAAAGACUCUCUGCAAAUCAACAAGGAAGAGUGCUCACAGAACUCAACAAGUGGAAGGAGAUUUGGAGCAAAUUUAUGUGGUGUUUGACGAUGCAAAGAUGCAGCAGAUGAAGAGAGAAUUUUGUUACUCAAAAUUGAAAUUAUUCAAAAUUAAAAAUAAAAUUUUAGAUUUAAUAAAUCUAGAUCUAGAUUCCUUGCGCAGGAGCUUCCAUGGCCAAUGCUUCAAGCUCCACCACGUUCAACAGACAGGGAGACACUCCCGUUUCUCUCCUCCCACAGCAUCUUGCCAGCUCCACUAAACAAACCAAAUCAGCAUUGUCUUCGCCUUCUCAACAAUAAACACAGAAGCAGGUCUUGAACAAUUUAAAAACGCAUGUGGAAUCAGAAGCUGAAAGAAUAAGAGACGAUUUGGUCCUCAAAUUUGAGUGUUGUUGGCGGUGCGACGAGUUCUGAAACUGUUCAAGGAGCCGUGAAGCGAUAUUGUGCGAGGGAAGCUUCGCCGGAGACUAGGAAGAGUCACCCGACCUCACCGCAGCCAGCACACAUGAAAUAAAUUCAAUUCUUCCAA
rnacentral:misc_RNA from 1 species